rnacentral:rRNA from 1 species
GACGAACGCUGGCGGCGUGCUUAACACAUGCAAGUCGAACGGAAAGGCCCUGCUUUUGUGGGGUGCUCGAGUGGCGAACGGGUGAGUAACACGUGAGUAACCUGCCCUUGACUUUGGGAUAACUUCAGGAAACUGGGGCUAAUACCGGAUAGGAGCUCCUGCUGCAUGGUGGGGGUUGGAAAGUUUCGGCGGUUGGGGAUGGACUCGCGGCUUAUCAGCUUGUUGGUGGGGUAGUGGCUUACCAAGGCUUUGACGGGUAGCCGGCCUGAGAGGGUGACCGGCCACAUUGGGACUGCGAGACGGACCAGACUCCUACGGGAGGCAGAAGUGGGGAAUAUUGCACAAUGGGCGGAAGCCUGAUGCAGCAACGCCGCGUGCGGGAUGACGGCCUUCGGGUUGUAAACCGCUUUCGCCUGUGACGAAGCGUGAGUGACGGUAAUGGGUAAAGAAGCACCGGCUAACUACGUG